UAAUACGGAGGGUGCAAGCGUUAUCCGGAUUUAUUGGGUUUAAAGGGUCCGUAGGCGGAUCAUUAAGUCAGUGGUGAAAGCCGGCAGCUCAACUGUCGAACUGCCAUUGAUACUGAUGAUCUUGAAUACGGUUGAAGUUGGCGGAAUAGGUCAUGUAGCGGUGAAAUGCUUAGAUAUGACCUAGAACACCGAUUGCGAAGGCAGCCAACUAAGCCGUGAUUGACGCUGAGGGACGAAAGCGUGGGGAGCGAACAGGAUUAGAUACCCUGGUAGUCCACGCCGUAAACGAUGAUUACUCGGUAUUGGCUUCGGUCAGUGCCCAAGCGAAAGUGAUAAGUAAUCCACCUGGGGAGUACGCCCGCAAGGGUG
rnacentral:rRNA from 1 species